CCUCCUAGCCGCUGUUGAUUGGAGAGGCCCGGAUCCAGCCUAGAGAUCCGACAGGGCGAGGAGGAGAAGCGGACUGCCGUAGCUGAAGAGUCUGGACGCUGAUUGGCCUAUUUGCCUUCGGGGCGGGUCCAGAACGUUCAAACUUCCCGCCCUCUGCCGUUGCUUAGCAGCCGGGCCUCUAGCACUCACUGUUUCUGGGAUUUGAUUGGCGCAGUGGGAAGCCCGCGAGAAGGUCGGACCAGGAGGUGGAAGCAUUCGAAUUACAUCAAAUUCUGGCAGAGAGAAGUAGUUCUGAUCAGAACACUCACACCCCUACUGGGACAUGCCCAUACCCCUUCGCACUUCUACACACCCCUGAAGACAGAGAGGAUGUUACAGUUCAAGGGAACGAACACCAAAGAUAGCCUUUCUGUCGGGAGGAGAGAAAAAGGCCCUCCCACAAGCAGGAGAAAACCCACAGAAGAGGAAGCACAAGAGGAAACCACCAACUGCUGGU